UACAGAGGUCUCAAGCGUUGUUCGGAUUCAUUGGGCGUAAAGGGUGUGUAGGUGGCGCCGUAAGUCGGGGUGUGAAAUUUCGGAGCUUAACUCCGAAACUGCAUUCGAUACUGCGGUGCUUGAGGACUGGAGAGGAGACUGGAAUUCAUGGUGUAGCAGUGAAAUGCGUAGAGAUCAUGAGGAAGACCAGUGGCGAAGGCGGGUCUCUGGACAGUUCCUGACGCUGAGGCGCGAAAGCGUGGGGAGCAAACAGG
rnacentral:rRNA from 1 species